GGGCCUAACCCAUAGCCUCAGAAGAGCUGUGGCUCACGCUCUGUGGGGUUUGGUGGUCUUGUUUAACAUCUUCUACACCUUAGUGUCUCAGCAGAAGGUGAGAUCUGGUGAGGAGACCCUCAAUAAUCAGCACUGAGAUGAAGGGAAUUGGACAGGAUCCUCCUUUCCUUGCUUUUUUGUGUUCAAAUGGUUGACAAGAGGGAAGGGCUAUCACCUUGGAGAACCCCCUGGAUGACUGCUGAACUUCUCACCAACUAAAUAAAUAAAAACAUGGCAGAAUUCAUUAUUGAAUUGUUUAGAAAAACGUUUUAAAUAGAUUCUUUUAAAUAGAACAUUUAAAGAAACAUUCCUAAGAAAAUAUAAUGUAUUUUGAAAAAAGCAACCUAACCCUGACCCCCUUACUUCAACAUGCUUCAGUUUAAGUGUCCUUGUUUCUCCUGGUACUUUAGCUGUCUGCUUCCCCUGUUCCCCCUUUGGACAGCCCUAACAGACCUUGAGAGCUGAGCAGGAGGCCAGCAGGAGGAGGCUCACUAUGUCCAGGGUUGCCUGGCCACCAGUGGAGUGAGCACAGAAAGCCACAGUGCUUUACUUUGAGUUCUGCUACAGCGAUGGGCUGGUACCUCCAGAUGAAAUUGCUUAGUUAUCAGUUGAUUUAUCUUCUCUUUGGUGUUUAACUCGUUACUGAAGGGUUGAAAUCUUACAUUGAAAAAGAAAGAAAAAAAAAAAAAAAAAAAAAAAAGCCUUGCUGAGUAGCUACACUUAGAACAUCAGAAGAGACAUUCAACCAAACCUGCUCAGCUGAGAGGGAACGUUAUUUUUCUUAGCCUGAUUAAAACUUCUUCUUUGUCUUUACUAACACCUGUUUGACUCAAGCACCUGAAUAAACUUUGAGGAGGAAAGAUAGCUUUGUUAAAGACUCAAGUGGACCUCAGAAGAUCAGGUUCCACUUCUGGGACCCUCAGCAAAUCCAGGGGAAGCCAGGCUUGACAUUCCUAUUGAGAUCUGUGGAGAAAAAGCAGGAAAACCCAAUCAUUUCUUUCAGAAACAAUUAGGUGAAAAGCCCCAACCCAAACAAACAAAUUCUCAAAAGUUAAGGUUUGUAGAAUUUAAAAGAAGCAAUCAUAACAAAACAUAAAUUACUAGCAUUAUUUUUGGAGUGUUGUUACAGAAAUAUGAAAUGUACUGGCUGUUUUCUCAAGAGUAAUGACCUCUAUUUGUGUGGACCGUAUUGUCUGUUGGGGUAUUGUGAACAAUUGCCCCAGUCUUCUUGACCUAGAUCUGGCUGCAAAUACACCACUGAGCAGACAUCAAAGCUGGUCUGAGGAACAUGUAGUAGCUGAAGCACUGGAAAUGAAAUUAUCAAGGAAACAGCUGCACCCCUGGAAGCAUCGCAGAUGAGAAGUGGCUUUGGGAAAUAUUCCUUUUGGUGAGGCUAUAAGACGCAUUACAGGGCUGGAUGCACCAGUACAGUCUUCAUGGGCUGGGAAAAGAAUACCAUUGAAGGCUCCUAGAAGUGCUCAGCUGAUUGAAAGGGAAAGGUGAAACAGAUAAGCCAUUUUCUUGAGGAUUGGAAGAGAACAGAGUGGGAAAUGUAGCCUGUUUGAGGAGGAACCACUAUUGCAUCCAAGCAGGAGGACAACUGGUCCAUAAAUCACUGAAUGGCCUUGGGGAUCCCCAGGUUACUAGGUCCCCUUCCCAUCCUUUACCAGAAGCGUGGUGAGGAACUUCUGCUCAAGAGUGAUGUCUGGAGACUGCACCUAGGCAUCUGGCAAUUGGGCACAGGUGAAACCUCCCAUCCAGAUGGCUCGAGAGGCUCUGAAUUUGGUAAGGAUUCUUUGAGGAUUCAUUCUUCUGGGCAGUCGCUCCACAACUCUGCUUCUCCCAACCUGCUUGUUUGUCUUCUAUCUUCCUUCUGUGCUGGGGAAAGCACAGAUCCACAAUGAAAGUGGAUCUACUCCAUCAAAAGCACAAGCAGCACUUUCUGGACAUUUGGCGGGGUUGGUGGGACACAUACCUUCUAGCUUACGAGGCGAAGCCUAAAUUAAAAGCUAAAAGAGUCAGCGUCUCACUGCAUGUUGUGCAACCAGAGCUCAGCGAUAUUUUGGUGGAGGCAUCUUGGACACUGCUCUUUUGCUGUCAGAUAUGCAGCCCUUCCAUGCAGUCCUUGUAAGCAGGAAAGAGCUACAGGACUCCUGCUCUGAAUGUCAAGUUUGAAAGUGAAGCGGCAUCAGUGUGGCUGAUUAAAGGAGCUGACGCCAAAGAGAAAUGUCAUGGACAGUUUAGAAAAGCAGAUUGAAAUGGCUUUAAAAUGUGGAAGAAGGGUCUUGGAGCUGAAUUUAGGAGGGAACUCCCGACCUCCUUCACAGCCCCCUACUCUGGGAAGUACCACAAAGACUAAGCUGCUUGGGAAAACACAUCUACAAGUUGUUGUUGUUGUUGUUUUAGCUGACAUAUUAAAAAUGAAAGAAAAAAAAAUCCUCCAGAAUAUUUCUUUUCAAUAAAGAGCCUUCUUUCAACAACAAAAAGACAAUUCAAAGGAAUAUUUCAAAUGGCUGUUUUUAAUUAACUCACGUGAUCAGCUGGUGGAAGAAUUAAAUUAGAGUUGCCUGAUUUUAUUAUGGGUCCAUUUUAUCCACAGACCAGCAAAGGUAAAAGGCAAAACUUCCGUGAAGGGCCUGAUCCAGGGCAUGCUGGAGGUUUGGAAAGACCCCCUCCAACUCCUGGCAUCUUUCAACUGGGUUGAUCGAUAAUUCACAAUCCACCUCUAAAUUUAUCAGCUCACUGUCUUUAACUGAGUGUAUUUUACAUGGAUUUAUUUUUAAUCAUGUGCUGUGGUGCAAUGGGCUGUUUGGCGAAGAGGCUUUAUAGACCCAACGUGUACACUUUUGGGGGAAGAUAAUUACACGAGUUCAAAGUCUCGUCAGCCAAUCGUAUUUUGGUAUUCAUGCAAGCUGUUUCAUAAUGCUGUUUUGAACCCUGUUGGUGGCAUAAUUAAGAUUUAAUUAAAUACAGGAAUAGAAACAUGUUGUUCAUUUGACCAUCUGUGAGUCAAUGACUACAGUGGUUUUCUAAGUUUCUACGCUACAUGCUGUUAGUGAGUGUUUCAUAUUAUUUUCCAUCUCCCCAACCAUAGUUGCACGUUUUCAGAGCCACUGAAGAGCCAGAGCAGAUAUUAUAAUCUUGUGUUGAUGAUCAUCUCUUUCUGCUGUUCUCAGCUAUUGAUAACACUGAGCACAGUUAAACCUUUUAAGUGUAGCAUGAGCUGCUAAGACAUCAAGGAACAGAAAUGCCAGGAAGAAACGAUAGCUUCAUCCAAAGACAAAAAUAAAAGAGAGGGUGCAUUUUGUUUCCUUCAUUUUUUGGUGGAGGCAUGUACAAGCCAGUGGUACCCAACCUUUAAUAACAAUAAUAAUGUAGAUUCAAGCACUUUUUUCUCAGAGUCUUCCUAGAGCACCUAGCACAAAGCAGCAUUGCUCUCA